GAGUGUGGCUCAGUGGUAAAACAUCUGUUUUGCUUGCAGAAGGUUCCAGGUUCAAUGCUUGGUAAGGAGAAUCU
rnacentral:tRNA from 1 species